AAAUUGAAGAGUUUGAUCAUGGCUCAGAUUGAACGCUGGCGGCAGGCCUAACACAUGCAAGUCGAACGGUAACAGGAAGCAGCUUGCUGCUUUGCUGACGAGUGGCGGACGGGUGAGUAAUGUCUGGGAAACUGCCCGAUGGAGGGGGAUAACUACUGGAAACGGUGGCUAAUACCGCAUAA
rnacentral:rRNA from 3 species